UGCAGCGUAGCAUAGUGGUUAAGGAGCAGGGCUCAUGACUGAAAGGUUGCGAGUUCAAUUCCCUGCUGCUGCCG